GACGAACGCUGGCGGCGUGCUUAACACAUGCAAGUCGAGCGGAGAUAAUAGCAAUAUUAUCUUAGCGGCGGACGGGUGAGUAACGCGUGGGCAACCUGCCUCGGACUGGGGGAUAACACAGGGAAACUUGUGCUAAUACCGCAUAACAUCAUGAGAUGACAUCAUCAUAUGAUCAAAGGAGUAAUCCGGUUUGAGAUGGGCCCGCGUCCGAUUAGCUAGUUGGUGUGUAACGGACCACCAAGGCGACGAUCGGUAGCCGAACUGAGAGGUUGAUCGGCCACAUUGGGACUGAGACACGGCCCAGACUCCUACGGGAGGCAGCAGUGGGGAAUAUUGCACAAUGGGGGAAACCCUGAUGCAGCAACGCCGCGUGAAGGAUGAAGGUUUUCGGAUUGUAAACUUCUUUGAUGAGGGACGAAUAAAUGGCGGUACCUCAAAAACAAGCCACGGCUAACUACGUGCCAGCAGCCGCGGUAA
rnacentral:rRNA from 1 species